rnacentral:lncRNA from 1 species
CUGAGAAACUGCAACCUCAUCUCUACUUCUUUCAUAGUAGGCCUAUCUCCUCCUCUGGGUUUCAAGCAUACUUCUAUAGAAUCCCUUUGUAAACUGUGCCAUGUCCUCCACGAUCGAACACGUGUAGCAUCAAAGUUGUUAGUCGCCUCCUCUAAUUCCUCCAAGGAAAAAAUCUUUGUUUUGUUUGUGGCACUUUCAUCUGAGAUUAGUUGCUCUAACAGAAGUCCUUGGUUUUUCUUAAAAUAUGCUCUUCGGAUUCUCUUCUGGAUACCUUUUUUCCACUUAUUGGCAAGCAUAGUUGCACAAAAUGCAAGAGCUAUAGAGACAAGGCCACAACUGAUUCCUACUGCAAUACCUGCAGAAGAACUCCUUGAUUAG